AGCUGGGGGAGGGGCACAGAAAGCCCCGCCCACACAGGUGUGUCAGCUGGGGGAGGGGCGCAGAAAGCCCCGCCCACACAGGUGUGUCAGCUGGGGGAGGGGCGCAGAAAGCCCCGCCCACACAGGUGUGUCAGCUGGGGGAGGGGCGCAGAAAGCCCCGCCCACACAGGUGUGUCAGCUGGGGGAGGGGCGCAGAAAGCCCCGCCCACACAGGUGUGUCAGCUGGGGGAGGGGCGCAGAAAGCCCCGCCCACACAGGUGUGUCAGCUGGGGGAGGGGCGCAGAAAGCCCCGCCCACACAGGUGUGUCAGCUGGGGGAGGGGCGCAGAAAGCCCCGCCCACACAGGUGUGUCAGCUGGGGGAGGGGCGCAGAAAGCCCCGCCCACACAGGUGUGUCAGCUGGGGGAGGGGCGCAGAAAGCCCCGCCCACACAGGUGUGUCAGCUGGGGGAGGGGCGCAGAAAGCCCCGCCCACACAGGUGUGUCAGCUGGGGGAGGGGCGCAGAAAGCCCCGCCCACACAGGUGUGUCAGCUGGGGGAGGGGCGCAGAAAGCCCCGCCCACACAGGUGUGUCAGCUGGGGGAGGGGCGCAGAAAGCCCCGCCCACACAGGUGUGUCAGCUGGGGGAGGGGCGCAGAAAGCCCCGCCCACACAGGUGUGUCAGCUGGGGGAGGGGCACAGAAAGCCCCGCCCACACAGGUGUGUCAGCUGGGGGAGGGGCACAGAAAGCCCCGCCCACACAGGUGUGUCAGCUGGGGGAGGGGCACAGAAAGCCCCGCCCACACAGGUGUGUCAGAUGGGGGAGGGGCACAGAAAGCCCCGCCCACACAGGUGUGUCAGAUGGGGGAGGGGCACAGAAAGCCCCGCCCACACAGGUGUGUCAGAUGGGGGAGGGGCACAGAAAGCCCCGCCCACACAGCUGUCUCAGACCCAGGAAGGAGACCUGCCAAGAACAAGCAACUCCUGCACUUCUCAAGAGGUGCCCGAGGCAACGCUGGCCCUUGCUGCCCCUGCCCAUGGGGCAAGCCUGGGGCACUAGCCAGUCCUGGGGCUCUGACCAGGCUCAGCCAGGCAGGUUCAGUCUCUUCCCCCUGUUGGCAGGAGGUGCUGUGUGGGGCAGGCGAGGCUCCCCCAGCAGGGGGUGGUAUGUGGGGCAGGUGAGAGCUCUGUGGCAAGGGGAGGUGUGUGGGGCAGGCAAGGAUCCCUGGCAGGGGGUGAUGUGUGGGGCAGGCGAAGGCCCCCAGCAGGGGGCGAUGUGGGGCGCAGACUUGGCACUGGAGUGGCAGGAUCCCGCAGCCCCCUCCUGCUCCCCUCCGCGCCGGGACACGGGACACACACACACAACUCAG